rnacentral:rRNA from 1 species
UACGAAGGGGGCUAGCGUUGUUCGGAAUUACUGGGCGUAAAGCGCGCGCAGGCGGCUAUCCAAGUCAGUGGUGAAAGCCCGGAGCUCAACUCCGGAACUGCCAUUGAAACUGUUUAGCUUGAGGACGAGAGAGGUGAGUGGAAUUCCCAGUGUAGAGGUGAAAUUCGUAGAUAUUGGGAAGAACACCGGUGGCGAAGGCGGCGACCUGGUCCGUGACUGACGCUGAGGCGCGAAAGCGUGGGGAGCAAACAGG